UGACGGAAAAGGCUCAAUAGUGCGACGGCCUGCGUGGCCAAAAAGCGCGCCACGCCAGCCUCGCCCUCAACAGGCGUCCUAGGGGUGAAGCCGACCGACUUUCGCUGUGCUCGUUGACGCGCCGAACCGAGCGCGUCAACCCAACAGCCGAAAAUGUCGCGUGGCCGGGCAAUCUCUUUCCAGCCCGAACCCGACAGCUCACCUCGCAGGCGUGGGGAAGGGCAAUC
rfam:Frankia sp. ETN1h contig_12, whole genome shotgun sequence.